ensembl:snRNA U6 U6 spliceosomal RNA
GUCCUCACUUUGGCAGCACAUAUACUAAAAUUGAAAUGAUACAGAGAAGAUUAGUAUGGCCCCUGCGCAAGGAUGACAUGCAAAUUCAUGAAGCGUUCCAUAUUUUU